rnacentral:rRNA from 1 species
GAAUUCAACUCCUACGGGAGGCAGCAGUGGGGAAUAUUGGACAAUGGGGGCAACCCUGAUCCAGCCAUGCCGCGUGAGUGAUGAAGGCCUUAGGGUUGUAAAGCUCUUUUAUCCGGGACGAUAAUGACGGUACCGGAGGAAUAAGCCCCGGCUAACUUCGUGCCAGCAGCCGCGGUAAUACGAAGGGGGCUAGCGUUGGUCGGAAUCACUGGGCGUAAAGGGCGCGUAGGCGGCGUUUUAAGUCGGGGGUGGAGGCCUGUGGCUCAACCACAGAAUUGCCUUCGAUACUGGGACGCUUGAGUCUGGUAGAGGUUGGUGGAACUGCGAGUGUAGAGGUGAAAUUCGUAGAUAUUCGCAAGAACACCGGUGGCGGAGGCGGCCAACUGGACCAGUACUGACGCUGAGGCGCGAAAGCGUGGGGAGCAAACAGGAUUAGAAACCCUAGUAGUCCAGGCGUU